CUUUGAAAUAAAUAGCAACUUGUUGUCUAGGGUGGACUUGCUGAAUUUUGGUUCAAGAUCAACAGAAUUACUUUAACCCUUCCAAUGCUGCUGGAGAAACCGAGGAUAGCUGUGAGGCUCCUUGUAAAAAUAUUUUAUUGACAAUGAAGUGAAACGUGCUUGUCGUGUCUCAGAAUGAGCGGGUAGAUUUGGAUUUUGGGGUUCCUCU